UACGACUACAUAUCAGGCAUAUCAAUAAGCGGAGGAAAAGAAACUAACUAGGAUUCCCCUUAGUAACGGCGAGUGAAGCGGGAAGAGCUCAAAUUUGAAAUCUCCAAGGUUUUACCUUGACGAAUUGUAGUUUAAAGAAGUGUUUUCUGUUGGAAGUUUUGGUAAAAGUUCUUUGGAAUAGGACAUCAUAGAGGGUGAGAAUCCCGUAUUUGACCAUUAUUUUCAGCUGUGUGAUACACUUUCAAAGAGUCGGAUUGUUUGGGAAUGCAGUCCAAAAUGGGUGGUAAAUUUCAUCUAAAGCUAAAUAUUGGCGAGAGACCGAUAGCGAACAAGUACCGUGAGGGAAAGAUGAAAAGAACUUUGAAAAGAGAGUUAAACAGUACGUGAAAUUGUCAAAAGGGAAGCGUUUGACACCAGUGUUGUUUUCUCGAAAAUCAAUUAAAAAGAGUUAGGAUUUUGUGUUGUAUUGACCUUAACAGCUUGCUUCACUCUUUUCCAGCUUUUUUUAAUGCACUUUUCGUUUAACAAGUCAACAUCAGUUUCUUUUGUUGUAAAAGGGUCAUUGGAAGGUGGCUUUCUCUUCGGAGAAAGUGUUUAUAGCCUUUGAUCUCUGCAAUCGGAGAGACUGAGGUCUGCAGCGUAGAUCCUUCGGGGUUAGAUACAUUUGUGCUAAGCUACAGCUUUUCAUAGACAACUUGUUGACUAUGUUUAGUCUUGUGACUUACCCGCUUAUGCUAUUUUACCUACGCUUAGGAUGUUGAGCGCAUGUCUCUCUCU
rnacentral:rRNA from 1 species